rnacentral:lncRNA from 1 species
CCCGCCGCGCAGGCUCGGCGUUGGCCUCCGCGGCCCGUGCGAGUGCGCCCUUCUCGGGUCCCCUAGGUCGCGGGGCAGCCGGGGCGGAAGGGGCUUGUUCAUUAUUUUGAGAGUUUGUUGUGAACGUCAUAACCUUUCGUCCUUAAAUAUUGCCGAUACUUGACCUACGCAAGAGACAAUGUCAUGUGAUUCAGCCUAAUAUCUCAGAGGAUGCAGCAUUCAAGGUUCUAUCUUGGAAGCAGAGACUGUGCCCUCACCAGAUGCUGAACCUGCUGAGCACCCUGAUCUUCCACUUCACCUUCAUCAGAACUGUUUUCGUAUCAGGAUGAUGCUGGCCUCAUACAAUGAGUUAGGGACGCGCAUGAAAUUUGGUGCCGUGACUCGGAUCGGCGGACCUCCCUUAGGAGAUCAAUCCCCUGUCCUCCUGCUCUUUGCUCCAUGAGAAAGAUCCACCUACGACCUAAGGUCCUCAGACCAACCAGCCCAAGAAACAUCUCACCAAUUUCAAAUCCGAAAUCCUUCAUCUAAUCUGGCAAACACAUGUGGCAGGUUUUUCUCACCGCAUAAAAUAUGUUAUAGAGUAGUCCAUCUAUUUCUCUUCCAUGGAAGAGUUCAUCUGGUAGAUUGGACUACCACUUUUCCUUGAAGAGGAAGAAGAAGAGGGAGGAAGGAGAGAAAAAAGGAAGGAAGGAAAGAAGAAAAGAAAAAAGAAUGAGAGAGAGAGAACAAAAGCAUCACCAAUAAGUGACGCUAGGAGCUAGCCCAAUGCAGAAGAAUGAAAUUGGACCCUUUUCUUUCACCAUAUACAAAAACUCACUCAAGAUGGGUGAAAGACUUAAAUGUAAAACCUAAAACUGUAAAAA